GGUAGCUUCUUCCAAGUACUUGUUUUUUACCUGCACCUGGCAAGUUGCAUCUGUCUUUUCUAUGAACACCCAUCUUUUCGAUUGCAAAAAUGUAUUGCAGCAUGGGUAACAUAAAGAGAAUAGGAGCCAUUUUCAGGUAUGCAACAAUAUAUGAACCAAUAGCCUCUGUUGGAAAUAGUUCAGCAAGUCAUUAGUUACAUUUUCUAUUUUUCUGAUAAUCUUGGAUUGCUGAUGAGGCUAAGCAAAUAUUAUGGAUAUAUGUGCUUUAAUAUGGAUGAAAAAUUUGCACACAGUGCCUUUGUUGAAUGAGUUGUUUGUCUAAUAUCUGUGCUGUGAACAAUGUUGUUUUGAAUGCAAAAGCUUUAAGCUACGCUCAACGGUCUGUGUGACUGACCUUUAGUCAUCUGCACUGCUGAUGUAUUAUGUUG
rnacentral:lncRNA from 1 species